AGAAAAGCAAAGCAAAUAGUGAACUCCGUUUCCUCCGUUUUUUCCCCUGCUCUUGCAAGUUGUCUGCACUUAUCUUCUCUUGGUCUAUUGCACGUUGAAGUCGGGGCUGAUAGGCAUCAUCAGAUCGAAUGGCAACGUGGCCGGUGGGACUCAGAUUCGAACCGACCGAGGAUGAACUCGUCGAUCAUCACCUUAGAGGGAAGCUCAAGGGAAAACUGGAAGCAUUCUGCCUCAUCCCAGAGCUAUACAUCUACAGUUGCGAGCCUCCGGAUUUGUUCAUUUCAUACAAUGAAUUAUCGGCCAUACCGUCAGACGGACGGGAGUGCUUCUUCUUCUGUCCUGGCGGGGACAAAAUUCCAAAUAAUCGUCGUUCUAAUAACAGGAUGACAGAAUUGGGAUAUUGGAAAGAUACUUGUAAGAAACGCGUUAUACGAUCCCUGGUCACUGGCAAACAAAUAGGGAUCAGGAAGAUUUUGGUUUAUUAUGAGGGUCGACAACCGAAAGGCCGCAAGACCGAUGUGGUCAUGCACGAAUACCACCUAAACUCAAGUGUCUCUGACAGUAAAAUCUCCGGCCCGGUACUCCAUUUUUCCCUCUGUUAAAUCCUCUAACUGAGCAUCUGUAACGCGUUUACCAGUGCAGAUGGCCUUUGUUCUCUGUCACAUAAUCGACAGGAAACGUAAGAAAGCGAGGUCAGCAAAAGCGGUUGCUUUGGCCAGUUCAAGCACCGGUAGUACUCCUAAUGACUCCGGAAAUGGACAACGCGACGAAAUUAGUACAGAGGCAUCUGGGGAAGUAACGAUCGAAACCCAAAAUCAGAAUGAGAUAUUGAUUUCCAGCAUGUCAGACAAUAAUGGGCCUAUUAUCCCUCAGCAGGACCAGGUGCACGAAGAGCAAAGCCCGCUUUAUGAUGGUUGUCUGUUUAUAGAUGGGCAUAGUGACGAAUUGUAUGAUCUGCCAUAUUCCCCGAGCAACGGUAUGGAGAUCUUGGACCUCUGGAAUGUCCCUACGGAUGAACUAGUAUGCCAAAGUAUCCUUCCUGGAGAAGAAUUUGAUGGACUUACUAUUACCUAGUUACUAUGUUGUUGACAUAAGAGGGAUGGGAGGUGGGUGUGCUGUAAAAACUGUAGUUGGGUGAGUGGAGAUUGUGUGUGUAUGGUACAAACUAUGUAGUGCUGCGUAUAACAGUCAGGUUGUGAAAGUAUGGAUACAUCAGUAUUGUGUUUUGUACUGGUUGCAGUGUGAGUGAAGGAAAACCAUUUUGUGCUGGUUGCAAA